rnacentral:rRNA from 1 species
CUUUGCAAGAAAAAUAAUAAUCUUAUACCUCCGAAAAUUAGUGAGCUGCCUAUAUUCCGUUAAGAACCUAUUAAUGAAUGUUUCAAUAUUCUUAAAAGAAAUAUACACAGAGGCUACAUACCUAUCGCACUAAUAUAUUGCUGAUAUUUCCUAAACCAGCCUUAGCUGUAAAAACUGCUAAAUAAAAAUACCCCUAAAACAGUUCUUCAAAAUAAAGAAGGACAAGCUUCUUUAUUCCAUUACACCCAUUAAAUAUAAAGUAGGCCUAAAAUCAGCCACCCACAAUCACGUUAUAUUAAUAAAAUAAACCCAAUUUCAAAUAAAAAAAGAAAUAUAUACUUUAACCAAAAAUAUAGCAAUAAUGCAAAGACUAAUAUCUAAAAUAUACAACUCUAUAUCUCCCAUAUAUGCCUAAGGAACUCGGCAAAUUAGAAUCCGCCUGUUUAACAAAAACAUAGCCUGAUGACCCAUCAUACCAGGUAAACUCUGCCCAGUGAAUUUUCAACGGCCGCGGUAUCCUGACCGUGCAAAGGUAGCAUAAUCAUUUGCCCCCUAACUAGGGGCUAGUAUGAACGAGUUAACGAGAUUCUCACUGUCUCAAGCAUAAGACUAUAAACUAGCCUUUAGGUGAAGAGACCUAAAUUUAUUUAAAAGACAAGAAGACCCUGUCGAGCUUUAAUAUAACAAAGAAACACACAUAUUCUCUCUUUUUAUAUAUUUUUGUUGGGGCGACAAAGGAAUAUAUAAAACUUCCUAAUAUAAAAGACUCCAAGUCAAUCCAUAGACCCACUCAUAGUGAUCAAAGAAUAAAGCUACCGCAGGGAUAACAGACUAAUUCUCCUCAAGAGCCCAAAUCUACAGGAGAGAUUGGCACCUCGAUGUUGGCUUAGGAUAUCUUUCAGGGGUAGAAGCCUGACAAGAGGGUUUGUUCAACCCUUAAUUUCCUACAUGAG